rnacentral:rRNA from 1 species
GGCCAAGUUUUUAAGGGCGCACGGUGGAUGCCUUGGCACCAGGAACCGAUGAAGGACGUGGGAGGCCGCGAUAGGCCCCGGGGAGCUGUCAACCGAGCUGUGAUCCGGGGGUGUCCGAAUGGGGAAACCCGGCAGUCGUCAUGGGCUGUCACCCGCAUCUGAACACAUAGGGUGCGUGGAGGGAACGCGGGGAAGUGAAACAUCUCAGUACCCGCAGGAAGAGAAAACAACCGUGAUUCCGGGAGUAGUGGCGAGCGAAACCGGAUGAGGCCAAACCGUAUGCGUGUGAUACCCGGCAGGGGUUGCGUAUGCGGGGUUGUGGGAAUGAGCUUGAUCGGUCUGCCGGCCGGUCGGCGAGUCAGAAACCGUUGAUGUAGGCGAAGGACAUGCGAAAGGUCCGGCGUAGAGGGUAAGACCCCCGUAGCUGAAACGUCAGCGGCUUGCUUGCUCAUCUCCCAAGUAGCACAGGGCCCGAGAAAUCCUGUGUGAAUCUGGCGGGACCACCCGUUAAGCCUAAAUAUUCCCUGGUGACCGAUAGCGGAUAGUACCGUGAGGGAAUGGUGAAAAGUACCGCGGGAGCGGAGUGAAAUAGUACCUGAAACCGUGUGCCUACAAGCCGUGGGAGCGUCGGGGCAGGCCUUGUGCUUGUCCUCGUGACUGCGUGCCUUUUGAAGAAUGAGCCUGCGAGUUUGCGGUGUGUUGCGAGGUUAACCCGUGUGGGGUAGCCGUAGCGAAAGCGAGUCCGAAUAGGGCGGUUGAGUAGCACGCUCAAGACCCGAAGCGGAGUGAUCUAGCCAUGGGCAGGUUGAAGCGGAGGUAAGACUUCGUGGAGGACCGAACCCACCAGGGUUGAAAACCUGGGGGAUGACCUGUGGUUAGGGGUGAAAGGCCAAUCAAACUCCGUGAUAGCUGGUUCUCCCCGAAAUGCAUUUAGGUGCAGCGUCGUGUGUUUCUUGCCGGAGGUAGAGCACUGGAUAGGCGAUGGGCCCUACCGGGUUACUGACCUUAGCCAAACUCCGAAUGCCGGUAAGUGAGAGCGCGGCAGUGAGACUGUGGGGGAUAAGCUCCAUGGUCGAGAGGGAAACAGCCCAGAGCAUCGACUAAGGCCCCUAAGCGUACGCUAAGUGGGAAAGGAUGUGGAGUCGCAGAGACAACCAGGAGGUUGGCUUAGAAGCAGCCACCCUUGAAAGAGUGCGUAAUAGCUCACUGGUCAAGUGAUUCCGCGCCGACAAUGUAGCGGGGCUCAAGCGUACCGCCGAAGUCGUGUCAUUCGUA